rnacentral:rRNA from 1 species
AGAGUUUGAUCAUGGCUCAGAUUGAACGCUGGCGGCAGGCUUAACACAUGCAAGUCGAACGAUGACUCUCUAGCUUGCUAGAGAAGAUUAGUGGCGGACGGGUGAGUAACAUUUAGGAAUCUACCUAGUAGUGGGGGAUAGCUCGGGGAAACUCGAAUUAAUACCGCAUACGACCUACGGGUGAAAGGGGGCGCAAGCUCUUGCUAUUAGAUAAGCCUAAAUCAGAUUAGCUAGUUGGUGGGGUAAAGGCCCACCAAGGCGACGAUCUGUAACUGGUCUGAGAGGAUGAUCAGUCACACCGGAACUGAGACACGGUCCGGACUCCUACGGGAGGCAGC